rnacentral:rRNA from 1 species
UGGAUAAGCUACUAAGAGCACACGGGGGAUGCCUUGGCGCCAAACGCCGAUGAAGGACGCGGUACACUGCGAAAAGCUCUGGUGAGGGGUGUGCACCCGGAGAGCCGGAGGUAUCCGAAUGGGGAAACCCGCGUGGGGGCAUGCCCACGCAUCGCCGGAUGAAAAGAUAGUCAGGCGAGGGGAACCCGGGGAAGUGAAACAUCUGAGUACCCGGAGGAGAAGAGAGGAUUUCCCGAGUAGUGGCGAGCGAAAGGGAAGGAGCCCAAACCGGCUGGCGAGCCAGUCGGGGUUGGAGGGCAAGACGAGAGGGACGGAAGCGAAGUCGAACGGUUCUGGGAAGGCCGGCCAGAGACGGUGAGAGCCCGGUAGACGCAAGCGGAGGUUCUGGACUUGACCCUGAGUACCACGGGGCACGCUAAUCCUGUGGGAAGCUGGGGCGGCCACGCUCCAAGGCUAAAUACGUUUGGCGACCGAUAGCGGACAAGUACCGUGAGGGAAAGGUGAAAAGAACCCCGGUGAGGGGAGUGAAAGAGAAUCUGAAACCGUGUGCUUACAAGCAGUCAGAGGGUUUCGAGAGGAAUCUGAUGGCGUGCCUUUUGGAGAAUGAGCCAGCGAGUUAAUGUCUGUGGCGAGGUUAAGGGAGGGACACCCGGAGCCGUAGCGAAAGCGAGUCUGAAGAGGGCGGGAAGUCGCAGGGAUUAGACACGAAACCAGGUGAGCUACCCAUGGCCAGGCUGAAGCGACGCUAAACCGUUGUGGAGGGCCGAACCUGUCAACGUUGCAAAGUUGAGGGAUGAGCUGUGGGUAGGGGUGAAAUGCCAAACGAACCUGGAGAUAGCUUGUUCUCCCCGAAAUAGCUUUAGGGCUAGCGUCGCGUGGUGAGUAUGGGAGGUAAAGCACUGGAUGGGCUAGGGGCCUCACGGUUACCAAACCCAACCAAACUCUGAAUGCCCAUACUGGGGAGCGCGGCAGUCGGACUACGGGAGAUGAGUUUCGUAGUCGAGAGGGAAAGAGCCCAGACCCACAGCUAAGGUCCUGAAGUGCAGGCUCAGUGGCAAACGAGGUGGGAGUGUCGAGACAGCCAGGAGGUUGGCUUAGAAGCAGCCAUCCUUUAAAGAGUGCGUAAUAGCUCACUGGUCAAACGCUCCUGCGCGGAUAAUGUAACGGGGCUCAAGCCUGCUACCGAAGCUUGGGACGGCGCACGGGAGUGUGUCGUGGUAGGGGAGCGUUCUGACAGCGGGGAAGCACGUCUGGCGAGGGCGUGUGGAGCGGUCAGGAGUGAGAAUGCUGGCAUGAGUAGCGAGAAACAUGUGAGAACCAUGUUC